rnacentral:lncRNA from 1 species
UGGUAGGGGGCAGGGGUUACCUUUAAUGCUGCGUUUUGUGCCAAAUCCCCCACAAUGUCCUGUCCCUGAGUAUCCCUGCCCACCCUCUCCCCACAGCAGGUUGGGCCCAGAGCUCCACAACCUGGGGUACAAAGGAAUAACUUAAGUGUCCUCCCCUCCCCCCUUCCCCAAUAAAUAGAGUGAGUAUCCUGCCCAGGGCCUCCCCCACCUUGGCAAAUGGUGGGCUGUGGCGGAGCCUGGGGCGCUACAUUCAUGGCUGCCCAGGCGGGCGGUGGUGGGCAGGUCUCAGUGAGAGCCAUAGGCCCCACACAGGGGCACUGUAUUGUCCUGGCUCUGACCCUCCAUGUCCAUGUCCAGCAGCGUGGGCUGCACGCUGAGGGGCCCAGGGCUCUCUGGAGUGUCUGGCCUGCUUGGAGGCGAGAUGCUGAGUGUCCGGCCAAAGGAGACCAGUUUCCAGGGGUCCAGACGGGGGCGGCUGGCAGCUGGCCGGGGUCUUGGGGCAAAGGUGAGGGUGGUGGGACGGCCAGGGAACUCCAGGGGCCGGCGUCGGGUAGGGAACAGGGCCUGGGGGUCGGGCAGUCGAGGGAAGUCCAAGGGA